UCUCCGUUGGUGGACCAGCGGGGGGAUCAUUACUGAGUUACCGCUCUACAACCCUCUGUGAACAUACCUGACUGUUGCUUCGGCGGGCAGAGGUCCCUCGCGGAUCUCUCCCGGCAACGCCCUCACGGGCGGAGCGCCCGCCGGAGGAUACCAAACUCUAUUUUAACGACGUUUCUUCUGAGUGGCACAAGCAAAUAAUUAAAACUUUUAACAACGGAUCUCUUGGUUCUG
rnacentral:misc_RNA from 1 species